rnacentral:tRNA from 1 species
CAGAGGAUAGUUUAAUAAAAACUUUAGCUUUGGGAGCUAAGAAUUGAGACUGGUUCUUAUCCUUUGA